ACAUUAGGGUUUCACCAUUUCAAAACAUUUCAAAAUCGACCGCCCUGCUCCCUCUCUCUCUCUCUCUCUGUCUGGAUCUGGAUCUAGGUUUUCCUCCAUGAAAAUUUCACCUGAUCUAUGAAGAUUCUGACCUCUCAAUUCUGUUUUAGGGUAUCUUUGGUGUUAUUGCUACCUUCGUCAAGGGUCAUGGUUUAAGGAAUGUGUCACGUUUCUUCAGAGAUUCCAGUCGGAAUCCUAGCCGAGAUAAUGGAUACUCUAGGGUUUAUGAAGGUUUGAUGAACUAUGCUGCGUGUACCAGCGAAACACGAAGAUCCUCUUUAAAUGGAUUCCGGUAAGACGAUUAGGGUUCCGGCGUGCUGGACUGCCAUCUCUGUCAAAAAAGGUUCCUCAAAGAUAGUGGUUGUGGGUGGAAGACGAUGACACAAGCCUUGGUAAUUUCAGAUCUCUAUUGACCCUCACCCUAAAAUCAAAUCCAUGUUUACUCGACCUCCAUAUUUUGAGGGUAAAAGUGAAGAUGACUUCUUUGACAGGACUUAAAUCAAGUUGAAGUUUGCACCAGAUAAGGGGACGCGUUUAGAUGGUUGGCUGGAAAUCCUUCCCACAAACCGGAUAUAAUGGCUCAGUGUGGCUACUAUAAACUCUUCUUGUUUUGUUUCUGUUCUAUUUAAUGGCAUUGUUCAUUGCACCCUGCAAAUGAUUGUUACAAUCUCACAUUAACAAAAACCGAAAGAGAAAAAACAGUUCAUGAAAAACUGCUUUAAUGGCUACACGACAUGUUGCACAAGCAGGACGUCCGCUAAUGAAUAUCGUCAGAAUGAAGGGGGUGCCCAUCCUACAGCAGUUGGAGAUUGAAGAAUGCCUUUUGCGGACCUCAUCUGACAACUGGUGCAUCAUAAAUGAUAGGGCGGAUAGACCCCACAUUGUCAUGGGCAUUUCUGGUUAAGUGUCUUUGCUAACAAUAGUUCUAAUAUGUAAUGGAGAUUGGAGAUCUUAUCAGUUUACGUGAAUCUGUUAUUAGGAAACCUGCUGAACUUGUUGAAAUUAAACGUGUUCUAGAAGAUAAUAUUCCUGUCAUACGAAGGUUUACUGGUGGCGGGACUGUAAUAGUUGAUCUAGGGACAAUAUUUGUUUCAUUCAUAUGUAACAAGGAUGAUGUUGCAGAUGUACAACCGUAUCCUCGACCCAUCAUGUCUUGGACCAGCCUAUUAUGCAGUCAGGUUUUUGAAGGAAUUGCUGAUUUCAGGCUUCGUGAGAAUGGUAUGAAAAAUUGAUUCUUAAAUCUUAAAUCUUAUUUGAAAAUAUAGUGUGCUACGUUUGUGCUUUUGGUAGUUGUUGCUUUGACAACUAUGGAAUAAUUAGAGACAUUAUGCAAAACCAUCUGCUUCAGAUAUUGGCCCUUUUUUCUAUGGAAACUCCUGUCAGUUUGGAUGCAGAAGAUAUCAGAAACGAAAAGGUUUUAUUUUUUGUUUUAGCAAGAAUGAUGACUCUGGCUGGUGGUGACCAAAAAGUGCACGAUGCUUAUUGUUAGUUCUGGUUCACUGGUGAUAAGCAUAUUGUACACUAUGCUCCAUCUAUUAUACAUUGUGCUUUAAACUCCUAAAACCAUGAUGGUUCUUUUUGAAGCGUUUAGCUCUAUCUGACACUAUUUGAUACUUUUCCAUGGUGGUGACUAGCGAGUCCCGAGUCCAGCUCGACAACAGGUGUGUGGUCUGGUGGAUUGAACAAAUGUGUGACAAUGGCGACCGAGGAGUUCUAGAGUUUCAUGAUAACAGAACAUCGGUGAUUGGCAGUGGUAUAUUGCUACCAUCAACAGCAAAGUCAAAACCUCAAAGGUGGAUCUAAGUGUCAAGGUUUCGCUCAGAAUGGCUUCCAGUCAACAGGUCAAUUAAAAAAAGGCUACAUUUGUUCGGGUCGAAACGGGUCGAUUAUUGAAUGCUAUUUUGGUUCAGCUAAAAAUGAAUGGUUUCAACUCAUUAAAAUGUCACAUUUCCAAAGCGAUCCGUAUUUUACCUGAACUAAGCGAUCCGUUUUUUACCUGAACUAAGCGAUCUGUUUUUGAAACUGGAAGUACUGUUGUUGGUGGAGGAAACAGCGUUGGAAGUUUUUUCUUUAUAUAGUUCUACCCCAUAUGACCAGCUAAAAGCUAUCAUCAUUGUACACGGGUUGAAGCGAGCUGGUUUUUUUUAGAGAAAGGGGUGACUCCGGUUCAGAUGCGAGUUCAGAGCGUGAUCUCUAGCAGCAACUCACUUCCCCGCCACCUUCAAAGACUGUUGCAACCAUGUCAAGGACUCUGUUGAUCAUCGACUACAGUGGACGACAAUGAAGACUGUAAUAUAAUUUUUUUUUUUCUGAUUUCAUAUCUUACAUUUUUUUUCCUAUAGGAUUCCAAUUUUCAGUUCUUAAAUAGACUUUCAACUUUUACAAGUUUUUAAUCGACUGUAGAAGUGGCAGGGUUUACCCAUUUACUUGUGAUCAAGUCAAUUUGGAUUGUUUUUUGUUU